CUUGGACCCAGCUGACUAUGAACUGAACCCUCUGAAACUAUUGGGGACAUGAGACCUCGUGUCUUCAGGAUCACCGUGAGGCUUACAUAAGAUAAUGUGUGUGAGGUGCCAGCACAGCAAGAGUCCCAGGCAGGAGCACAGCAAAACUACGAGUUCUUCUCCUUCCUGCUGUUUAUUUUAAGCCUAUCAAGGACUUGAAGGAGCCUCUUCCUCCACGUUCUUCCACUAAUGUUCCUGGUUCUCUAGCCUCCUCGUGCCUCCCCAGUUCAUUGGAGGUUUGUCGUAGGAUUGAUCAACUAACUGGCUUCUCAUGGCUCGUUCCUGACUGAGGACCUGGUGCUGAGUGAUGCUGUCUUUCUCCCCUCCAGCCUUCUGGGAGACUGGAAGCUCCAGGCCGCCCCAGAGCCCUUCCGCCUACUCCACUGUCCAAGACUGAACAGCUGCUCUGUUUCGAGUUCUGUGAACUGAGUGGAGUAGAGACUGGGGGACUGGAGCAGCGGAGGCUUUCCGCUCCAAAAGGCAGAGCCGUUGCUGCCAGCCCCCAGCAGCUGCAGAGCCCCUCCCGGCACCCCAGGGAUGCUGCACAUGUGGCUGGGUUCCCAUAGCAACCUCUGAGGGACCAGCUGUCCCUGUUAUACCACAUCACCUCCUGGAUGCUUCGAGAGGUUGGGAAGAGGAGGGGAGGAGGAGGGAUUGCAGGGCCCUUGCAAAUGCAAACACUUCCACUCUUACACUCCCAGUAGCUGGGGGGAAUGUGUUAGUAUUGUCACAGAUAUGGACAGAUAUGGAUAUGGAUAUGGAAAUAUGGAGGCCCUGAAACACUUCAGGUUCACCUAGCUAGCCGAGGUUCACUCAGCUAAUGCAAGAGACUGUGUCUGCCCCCUUCAGUUUACAGUGAUGCGGUCAGGACAGUUGGUACCUGCCAGACAUCUCUGGUGACAAGCAACAGAAACCAGCUCCCAUGGCAGAAAGAAAAUAGGAUUUAUUAGAAGUGUGGUGCAGACCAGAAGGAAAGGAAACAUUAAAGACACAUUUUGGGAAAGGACAGGAAGUGGGUGGCUGGAAGGUCCAGGUACCGGGAAUAGAAGAUCAUUUCAUCAGAAGAAAUGAACUUCCAUCUUUAAAUGUUUUUGUCUUGACAUUUAAGAAUUCAAGUUUCAGGAAGAGGGCCUGGGCCUAGGUGGCUGGGAGAGGGUAGGCCACUGAUGACUGUCCUUCCAAGUCUGUGUCCACUGGGAUAGGGAUUGGUCCCCAAAGAAGAAUUAGGGUGCUCUCUCCAGAAGAAAGGGAGAUGAAUCCCAGGCAGGCACCAAGCUUCAUGCCCACCAGGCUGCACUGGGAAUCAAAGGGUCACCAGGCAGGAGAGUCCAUGGGCAAUGAAGGAGAUGCACGGAGCUCAGAGUGGUGCCAUGCAGGAGAGCUGGGUCCACUCUGGAGGGCCAGUAGUCAGCAAAUGGACAAGGUCAGGAGGCUGAACACUGACGGUCUCCAUUUUCACAGACCAAAGUGGUACCCGUGGCUUAGUGUUGUCCCCACUGUUAACGGGACAUCCAUAUCCCAAUCCUCUCCGAGCCCCCAGGGUCAGCACUGCUCGGUACAAAGAGCCCUGGUCACCAUCUAACGUUCACUGUUGUCUCCCUAGUGCCUGAGGGAGCACCUGGCACAUAGUAGGUGCCCAGUUAUUAUUUGCUGAAUGAAUGAGAAAGGGCUAAUCUCUCCAAUUGGCACUUGGGGUACAGUGGUAAACUACAAGAAGCAUCCUGACCUCGCGGACCUUGCAGUCUAGGGAGAUCGACACAAGAAAGACAUAGCAAAAGAGCAAAACUAACGUGGCAAAACACUGUGAUAUUUACUUUGAAGGAAGUCAACAACAUUUCAAAAAUAAAAAGGCAUGAAACUACUGAAGAUGCAGCAGGCCUCUCUAAAGCCACAUUUAAACAGAGACCUGAAGGGUAAGAAGGGACCAAUCAUGAGAAGGGUGAAGGAUAAUUCUUCUCAGUAGAGGACAGAACAGGUGCAAAGGCCCCGGGGUUGGAAGGGCAUGGGAUGUUUAGGGAACUGGAAUGAGAGGACCAGGGUGGCCAGGGAUUUGUGAGCAAGGGCUAGAAUACAGGUCCAGGGUGGGCAGGUGCCAGGUCACUGGUGCCUGGUAGGUGGUACUAUGUCACUUGCUUGCACUCAAGAUAAAUGGAGAAAUUAUUGAACACUAGUGCUUGACUACAUUUGCAUUCCCGGCUGAUUGACCCAGCUUCUAAAUAGGGAAUAUACCAAAUCAGAGAGCAGGCAAUAGCAGUGAUCAAGAAUGGGACUGAACUAGGUGUGGUGGUGCAUAUCUGUAAUCUCAGCACUGGGAAGGCUGAGGCAGGAAGAUUGCCCUGAGUUUGAGGCCAGCCUGAGCUACAUAGUGAGAAAAAAAUGGAACUGAGCACAGGCAGCCAAGGCUCAGAGGACAGCGGGACACCUUCAGGCCGCCUCUCAGUUCAGUCAGGUUGGGCGAUAUCACCUUCCAGGGAAGAGGAAGGCCCCUCUGCUCCCCCAGCGUGGUCCCAGCCUUCAGGUGAUGGAUAGAUCCGCUGAUGAUCUGACUGGGCCCCGUGCCCAAGUGACAGGUGAUGGUUGGGGUUGGAAAUGAGUGCUCUGAGCCAUGUGGCCAGUGCACUGCUCCAAGGAGGCCUUUGGAGCCAGGAGUUAAUUUUAAAAAAGGCGAGAGAGAGAGUUCGAUAUCACUUCCUCUACUGCUCAAUUAGUGGAGAGGGCUGCAGGGAGCUAGGGUUUUAAAGAUCCCCUUAAUCAUUUCUGUCUGCCUGGCAGUAUGCAGGAUCAGGCCAUUAACAGAUGCAAUUAAGGCACAGGGGCCUCCAGCACCCCUGUCUGCAAUUAAACAGCAGACGAGGGGCUCCCAGGGUAGCCUCUGAGAUGAAUCACUUGGAGCAGAAACCUUGGGAGGCCGGAAGUCUGGACAGAGAGGCAAUGAGAUUCAAUAACAUGGGGAUGGGGAUGGGGAUGGAGAGAGACUCAUCGAAUCAGCCUCUCCGGAUGGAGGCCCAGCCUGCAGUUGGAUGGAUGAUCUCUGGGACGACUGAGAAGAGGUUCUGCCUUCCGUGACGGAGAGUCGGUAUCUGGAACUCAUGGACCACCUCUGGGGCCCAAGCGCUUGCUUCCUGCCAAGGACAUACGCCCGAGGAGUGCAGAGACGGGGAAGUUCCGGGAUCAGUAAUUGUGAUGAGAAAUGGGCCGUCUGAGUGUGUUGGCAGGAGCGCGUGUUCCUGUCCCGCAGGUGGGGAGAAAUUUCCAUUCUUGGGCACCUCCGAUGGACCAGGCCUGUGCCCACUCCUGCCCCAGGUGCCAUUUCCUUACUUUGACACCACAUCCCACCAGCCUUACAUGACAGCCAUGGCCUCUUUGUUGCAGAUGAGGGAAUGGGUGGCCCGGGGAAUCACAGAAUUUGUAGGUGGUGGAGCUGGGAUUUGAACCCUGGCCUGUGUGACUUCCAAUAGUUCACUCCAUGGCCGAGAAGCCUCUCUGUAAUCAUGACUGCCAAGAUCUCACCCCGUGUGUCCCGUGAUGCCCCAUGGGUGGACUCGGGGACAUUUCAGUGUCACUCCUAGCCUUCCCUCCCUGUGUCAGAAUCUCUGAACUUCUGAAAAGCCCUCUGCAUGGAUCCUGGCAUAGUCCGGAGGCAACACCCAAAGUCUUAGCCACCAAGGCUCAUCGGAGCUAAGGAAGAAACUCUAACCCUCCAUUCUUCUAUCUCCAUUCCUCCACCCGUGCCUCAUGGUGACAGCUGGUCCUCCUCGCCAAGCUGCCAGCUCUUCCCUGCUGCUAAGUUAGCAUCUCUGCUGGCACUGGGGGCUGAAGCGCCUGAUGGAAAAGCUCCAUGGGCCAAACUUGGCAAAGAGCUUGGCCUGGCUGGCUACACUUGAACAUCGUCCCUGUGGCCGGGGCUCUGCCCAUGGCCAAGGCCCCAGCCACUCCACAGAAGAGCUGAAGUUGCUCUGAUUUUGCCCCAGGGGAGCUCAGGAGUGAAUUGUGUGUCUCCUAGUCCCCAUUUCCACAGCUCAUUUCUCUGUAAACUUUGCUUUAGAUUUUCCUUUUUUUUUCCUCUGUGGCGUCAGUGGAGAGCUGGUUUCAGAGAGCAACAAAAGUUGGUGGGUUAAAGUCACGUUCACAGGGGACCCACCUGCCAGUCACACCUUCCUUCCAGGCCUUCCUAAGCCACCCCAGGACACCCGCUGCCUGCAUGCCCCACAUUCUUCCUGCAUGGAGGACUCUCCUGGGUCUGCCUUGCUUGUGCCUGCCUGCAUGAAAGCCCUGUAAAUUGGGAAGAGAAAGACAGGGGCAAGCAGCUUCAGUUUGGCUCAGGUGCAAAUCUGCUCUGGGCACUCAGCAGCCAAAUUGCCCAGAGAGAAUUGUAUCUUCUGCACCCCCAGAACCGCCAGGCUAUUGCUGGGCUUUGAGGCAUGGCUGUGGAGUCCUCUCCCUUCCCUUCCCUCUGCUUCUCAAGCAUUUACCAAAUGCACUCUAUGUGGCUGGCAAAGUUCCAGGGGCUGCAGACCAGGUGAUAAAUAAACCAGCCCCUGUCUCUUAGGAGAGAUGCUCAGGUGAGGAACAUGUAACCCUCAACUACAGUGGGAGACAUUUUUCUGUAGGGGCAGGGACAAGGGCCUCCCUCUGGGAGCAGGGGGAGGUGGCACUGCAUCGUGUCUCAAGGCUGGCAUGGCAGAGCAGGCACAGGUGGUCCAGGAACCCAGGAGCCAGGAAGUGGAGCCAGGUCCAGAAGGGCACAGGAAGGGAUGGCACAGGCACCUUCGCCAUCAGCCCCUUGAGCCAGGUGGGAUGGGGAAGUUGGGGUGCAGACAGGGAGGCCACAGGACACUUUACUGGUAAGGGACACCAGUGCACCCCAGACAGGUGUCCUGCGGCUGAGAUUCCAGAUUCAAGGAGAGCCCUCGACACACACCAUGGGUGACAACCUGCUCAGGCACACUGGCCAAGAUUUCUGUAAGCCAGAAAUGUGCAGGCAUGCUUACCCGUACAUGCACGCACUCCCCUCUUCCCUCCACACCAAGUGAGCAUCACCAAUCACUCAGUGCCAAACAGAUGGUAAAGAGGAGUUCUUGCUCCAAGGAGUGGGUGGCAGCGGCAAGGUCACUGUGACACAAAGCAGACAAAUGGCUUCUGAUGUCUCCUUCCUGUUCUGCCACUCAGGUCUGGCUGAAAGGCUCCUGUUCAGACCUGGAAAACUAGUCCAUAGGGUUACCUUUCUCCUUCCCCAUCUCCUCCCUCCUUUUCUGGCCUUCUUAAUGUUAAUCCUUUCACUCUUCCUCUUCCCCACCUACUGUAUCUUCUUUUCUUGGGGAGCUGGCAAGGAGUGUGUGGACGGUGAGAAAGGAAAAUAGAGCCUUUGACCUUUGGAAGUGGCCCGAGGUCACUCCCAGCUAUGCCAGCCACCUUCCUGCUGGAUGCAAAAGAAGUGGGAGGGCACCAGCCUCGGGCCAGUUCACUCUAACAUCGAGACAAAAUGAGACCGGCCAAGGCCCCAUUACAGACAAAAAGAAGGUCACCCUGCCACCCACGAAACACCGACUGUCUCCUCUCUUGGUCGGGAUGAUCUGGCUGCUUCUUAAAUCUUCAUUAUAGUCUCCCUUCCCUACAGCUGAGGUUUAUUGAGAUCACUGUAGAAUUGCCCUUGCUUUCUGACAGCAAGCUGAAUCUCUCCAACUUUCUUCCCAAGUGACCCUAUCAAAGUCCACAUUAUGCAACUGGUCUUUUCUGUCUGCUAGGCUGAGGCAGGAGGAACACAAAUUUGAGUCCAACUUGUGCAACUUAGCAAAUUAGUGAGACUCUGCCCCCAGGGUAGCUCAGUGUGUAGCUCAGUGUGAAAGCCCUGGGUUCAAUCUCCAGUGCCACAAACAAAACAAACAGUUCUUUCUAACACCACCUGGACAAAACACACCCCAGGCUCCCCAUGGUGUACUGUGUUCCCUCUGCAAUGAAUAAAGAUCCCACCCGGUUUCACUACAGAUCUGUUCCUGCUGGCCUUUGACUAAAGGGCUUUGGCGAAAUUGGAGGUUCUAUUGAGAUUCAGCUGAGACCCUCACUGCUUUGACCUAGGACAUUUGCUCCACGCUGCAUGCAUCCCUUGAGAGGUGGCAGGCAGUGGUGUUUUAAAGCACCCUGUCAUUUUUUUUUUGGUACCAGGGAUCAAACUUGGGACCUUGUGCUUGCGAGGCAGGCACCAGAACCACUGAGCUAAAUCCCCGGCCCUAGCUCCCUGUCAUUUUAAUGAGCAGUUUGGGGUGGGAGUUCCCAGGUGACAAGUCACUUCAGGAGACUGUCAUAAAGGUCAGAGGGUAAGGCCUAUAAGUCAAACAGCGUGGACUUAGUACCCAAUCAAAAUCAGCUUUCCAGCUGUCCGUCCAAUUUUUGGUGAGGAGGAGUAUUAGAGAUUGAACCCAGGGCCUUCACACUGAGACAGGUUCUCACUAAGUCACUAAAUUGCUCAGGCAGGCAAUCCUGCCUCAGCCACCACCCGAAGUGUGGGAUUACAAAUGUGCACCACCAUACCCUGCAAGAUCAGCUCUCACUGUCAUUGAUUUCUGUGCCUUAUUCAUUUUGCUGACCCUUUCAACAAACAUUUGAUUUUACUAAUGAGAUUGAAUAGGUUUUUUGCUGUUGUUUGUUUGUUAGGAUUGAACCCAUGGCCUUUCAGAUGCCGGGCGAGCUCUCAACCACUAAACCACACUCACAAUCCUCAAUAAACAUUUGUUGAAUGAGCCUGAGUACUGAUGGGAGGCUGUGGAUUGCAUUUUAUGUAAUAAUCUCUGGCCACGCCUCCAUCUCUCCCCAGCCAUCCUUCCCUCUGAUUCUACCUUCUCCCGGCCACCAAGGCAAGAGCUGAGGCUGGAAACUCUCACCUACGUCUAACACUGGGCCCAUCUCCUUCUCCAUGGAGCAUGGCAUGGCCCCUUUCUGUCUGGGCCCCUGUCCCACCCACCCCAUGGUGGCUUGGGGUUCCUGGGUCUUCUCUAUGAAGUGCCUCAGUCAGGACAGAUCUCAGCCCUACCACAUCAUGCCUCUGGCUCAGGUAGCCUCCAUGGGUCCUCGAUAUUUCCUAAGGAAGUCCACACCUUCCCCUUGACAGUCAAGUCCUCCUAUGAUCCAGCUGUGUGUGCCUUGUAUCAGUGCCAUACUUAGAGUACUUGUCAUGAGCCCACAGACUUCCUGCCUGCCUGCUGCAAGUUAUUAAGCUCUGCUCUGCCAGCUCUGCUGCCUGAAAGGUGGACCCACCAUUAAGUCCCUAUAAAUCCUGUUUAUCAUGCAAAUGCAGCUCCAGUGCUACUUCCUUUUGAUAAUGGAUUGAUUUUGUCAACUUUAGUAAAUAAUGCCCAACUAAAUUGCCUCACCAUAGGUCUAGGUGGGGAAGACCCACCGUGGAUUUAUCACUAGAACGCUAUAAGACAGAAACAAGAAGGAGAGAUUCCUUCUGUCAUCUUUGGAGAAGCUCCAGUCUUCACUUUUACCUUGGCUGUUAUCUUCUGGCUUCCAGCACAGACCUUUUAGCCUUCUGGUACAGACCCUUCAGUCUUCUGUCACAGACCUAUCAGCCUCCUGAUAUGGACUCACAUGGGACAGUACAUGGAGCUCCAGGCCUUCCCCGGAUCCUUCAGAUUCCUAGUGCACACACAGACCUUUUGAACUCUUCCACACCCUACCCUGUGGGUGGCCAUCAUAAGCCAAUUUGCAAAUUCUUAUAUAUUUGUACAUUUGUUGUAUCUUGUAUUAUAUGUUUCUCUAGUAAAUAUCGACUGAUAUAUUCCUCCUCCCCA